UCCGCACGAGCGCACCCCUGCUGUCUGUUGCCAACAGGUAAUGCUGGGAACUCAGGCGGUACUGCCGGUGACAAACCGGAGGAAGGUGGGGACGACGUCAAAUCAUCAUGGCCCUUAUGUCCUGGGCUACACACGUGCUACAAUGGCCGGUACAGAGCGAUGCGAAACCGCGAGGUAGAGCAAAUCGCAGAAAACCGGUCCCAGUUCGGAUUGGAGUCUGAAACCCGACUUCAUGAAGGUGGAAUCGCUAGUAAUCGCGCAUCAGCAUGGCGCGGUGAAUAUGUUCCCGGGCCUUGUACACACCGCCCGUCACACCACCCGAGUCGGGGGUACCCGAAGUCGCUCGUCUAACCAGCAAUGGAGGACGGUGCCGAAGGUAUGCCUGGUAAGGGGGGUGAAGUCGUAACAAGGUAGCCGUACUGGAAAGUGCGGCUGGAUCACCUCCUUU
rnacentral:rRNA from 1 species